rnacentral:rRNA from 1 species
UCAGACCGGAGUAAUCCAGGUCAGUUUCUAUCUAUACCUGAAUUUCUUCUAGUACGAAAGGACCGAAGAAACGUGGCCUAUAUUAAUACAAGCCGCAGCUACCAAAUUAUGCUUUUAACUUAAUAACAUAGUAGCCUAAUAUUAUUCUCAAAAAAAGAGCCG